rnacentral:rRNA from 1 species
AUAGCCGUAAACACAAGCAGGUUUAAAACAAGCCUGCUCGCCAGAGAACUACUAGCAACCGCUUAAAACUCAAAGGACUUGGCGGUGCUUUAUAUCCGUCUAGAGGAGCCUGUUCUAUAAUCGAUAAACCCCGAUCGACCUCACCACUCCUUGCCAACUCAGCUUAUAUACCGCCAUCUUCAGCUAACCCUAAAAAGGAAUACAAGUCGGCUCAAACAGCAUUGUGCCAAAAAAGUUAGGUCAAGGUGUAGCUUAUGGAGUGGAAAGUAAUGGGCUACAUUUUCUAAUAUUAGAACACCACGAAACCCCAUGUGAAAUCCAUGGGACAAAGGAGGAUUUAGCAGUAAAUUAAAACUAGAGUGUUUAAUUGAACAGAGCAAUGAAGCA